rnacentral:rRNA from 1 species
AUGCAGGGAGCAGAUGCGCAGGAGCUAAUGGGCCGGCCCGCUACGGCCGACAUAUAUCCCCCGCCAAGAAAGCAGAGCACCAACGGAAACAGAGCAACCAACCACCGGCGGCCAAGAACUCCGCCAAGAACUCUGCCCCCGUCUAGCAACCUCGCCGCCGUCGUCUCCAAGCUCCUCCCCCGCUUCCUUCCUCCAAGAACCGGAAGCGGUCUUCCCCUCUCCGCCCCCGUCCAUCAAGCAGCCUCGCCGUCGUCCCGAGGUCCUGCCCCGCUUCCUCCAAGAAUUGGAAGAACUCCUCCCCACUCCGUCCCCAACCUCGCCGGCGUCUCCUCGCCUGCCUCGAUCCCCCUAUGGCUUCUUUACAGAGUCUACCGGGCGAGUCCCCCGUCCUCCUGUCCCGUGGCUGAUGAUGCCAGCGCGGUUUGUGGCGGAUCUCUCCCCCGGCAUUCCUCCCACAGUCUGCUCCUUUGCCUGACAUGCCGGGGACGAAGCUUCAUGGUGCACCGCCGCGGGCUGGAGCACCGGCUCCGGCUCCCCGCGGACUUCAACGGUGGCCGGAUGUUUGGAACCUACCAAGGAGGCUGGGUAUUUCUGGCCGUCGGGCAGCAGUUCGGCCACGCCGCCGUCAACAUCUUCUCAGGGACCCGGCUACUGUUUCCCGACUACGUGGUGGUCGCCGACAACACAGUGCGUCCCAUGGUUCUGAUCGCCGCGGCGCUCUCCGCCGAGCCGCUUGGUCACCACGGCGCCUGCUUGGCUGCCGCCAUCGGCCACGUGGGCGGCUUCGUCCCCGACGGCAACCGGCCGCCUCAGUUCGCGUUGUGGCGCGUGGACGGGGCUGCGCUCGACCAGCGGCCUCUGGCCCGUGGAUUCGACGUCGAGGACGCCGGAGCCGGACUGCAGGAGGAGCUUGUCUUGGAAGACGUUGCUUGGUACAAUGGAGUGCUUUACUUGCUGACGAGUCGGGAGGAUCUGGUGGCGGUGCACGUGGGGGCCGAGGGGCAGGUCCUCGUCGCUCAUCAGCAGCUUAUCAGGUGCCGGCGGGCCGCCGAGCGGCAUCAUCAUCG